rnacentral:rRNA from 1 species
UACGAAGGGGGCUAGCGUUGUUCGGAAUGACUGGGCGUAAAGGGCGCGUAGGCGGCGAUGUAAGUCGGGUGUGAAAGCCCCGGGCUCAACCUGGGAAUUGCAUUCGAGACUGAAUAGCUAGGGUACGGUAGAGGGAAGUGGAAUUUCCGGUGUAGCGGUGAAAUGCGUAGAUAUCGGAAGGAACAUCAGUGGCGAAAGCGGGUCUCUGGGCCGAUACUGACGCUGAGGAGCGAAAGCGUGGGGAGCGAACAGG